rnacentral:rRNA from 1 species
AAGUCGAGGGCGAAAAGCACUUCGGUGUGAGUAGAGCGGCGGACGGGGGAGUAACGCGGAGGAAUUUGCCCAGUAGUGGGGGACAACAUGUGGAAACGCAUGCUAAUACCGCAUACGCCCUAUGGGGGAAAGCAGGGGAUCUCGGACCUUUCGCGUUAUUGUAGAAGCCUGCGUCGGAUUAGCUAGUUGGUGGGGUAAAGGCCCACCAAGGCGACGAUCCGUAGCUGGUCUGAGAGGAUGAUCAGCCACACUGGGACUGAGACACGGCCCAGACUCCUACGGGAGGCACCAGUGGGGAAUAUUGGACAAUGGGGGCAACCCUGAUCCAGCCAUGCCGCGUGUGUGAAGAAGGCCUUAGGGUUGUAAAGCACUUUCAGUAGGGAGGAAAAGUUAGUCGUUAAUAUCGGCUAGCCCUGACGUUACCUACAGAUAAGCACCGGGCAAACUCCGUCCAGCAGCCGCGGUAAUACGGAGGGUGCGAGCGUUAAUCGGAAUUACUGGGCGUAAAGCGCGCGUAGGCGGCCUGAUAAGUUGGAUGUGAAAGCCCUGGGCUCAACCUAGGAACUGCAUUCAAAACUGUCAGGCUAGAGUAUGGUAGAGGAUAGUGGAAUUUCCGGUGUAGCGGUGAAAUGCGUAGAGAUCGGAAGGAACAUCAGUGGCGAAGGCGGCUAUCUGGACCAAUACUGACGCUGAGGUGCGAAAGCGUGGACUACCAGGGUAUCUAAUCCUGUUUGCUGUCCACGCCGUAAAUGAUGUCAACUAGCCGUUGGUGGGCUUGUCCCCUUAGUGGCGCCGCUAACGCGAUAAGUUUACCGCCUGGGGAGUACGCACGCAAGUGUGAAACUCAAAGGAAUUUACGGGGGCGCGCACAAGCGGUGGAGCAUGUGGUUUAAUUCGAUGCAACGCGAAGAACCUUACCAGGUCUUUACCUCCCGAGAGCUUUCUAGAUAUAGAGUGGUGCCUUCGGGAAAUCUGAUAAGGUUGCUUCAUGGCUUUCGUCAGGUCGUGUCGUGAGAUGUUGGGUUAAUUCGCUUAACUAGCUCAACCCUUAUGCUUAUGUGUUACCAUUUAGUUGGGCACCUCUAAGGAGACUGCCGGUGAUAAACCGGAGGAAGGUGGGGACGACGUCAAGUCAUCAUGGCCCUUAUGGGUAGGGCUACACACGUGCUACAAUGGCCGGUACAGAGGGCUGCAAACUUGCGAGAGUAAGCUAAUCCCUUAAAGCCGGUCCUAGUCCGGAUUGGAGUCUGCAACUCGACUCCAUGAAGCUGGAAUCGCUAGUAAUCGCGGAUCAGAAUGCCGCGGUGAAUUCGUUCCCGGGCCUUGUACACACCGCCCGUCACACCAUGGGAGUGGGUUGCAAAAGAAGUGGGUAGGCUAACCUUCGGGAGGCCGCUC